UACGUAGGUGGCAAGCGUUAUCCGGAUUUACUGGGUGUAAAGGGCGUGUAGGCGGGACUGCAAGUCAGAUGUGAAAAUUAUGGGCUCAACCCAUAACCUGCAUUUGAAACUGUAGUUCUUGAGUGAUGGAGAGGCAGGCGGAAUUCCGUGUGUAGCGGUGAAAUGCGUAGAUAUACGGAGGAACACCAGUGGCGAAGGCGGCCUGCUGGACAUUAACUAACGCUGAGGCGCGAAAGCGUGGGGAGCAAACAGG
rnacentral:rRNA from 1 species